GAUGAAGAACGCAGCGAAAUGCGAUAAGUAAUGUGAAUUGCAGAAUUCAGUGAAUCAUCGAAUCUUUGAACGCACAUUUCGCCCCCUGGUAUUCCGGGGGGCAUGCCUGUCCGAGCGUCAUUACAACCCUCAAGCUCAGCUUGGUGUUGGGCCCCGCCGCCCCGGCGGGCCCUAAGGUCAGUGGCGGUGCCGUCCGGCUCCGAGCGUAGUAAUUCUUCUCGCUCUGGAGGUCCGGUCGUGUGCUCGCCAGCAACCCCCAAUUUUUUUCAGGUUGACCUCGGAUCAGGUAGGGAUACCCGCUGAACUUAAGCAUAUCAAUAAGCGGAGGA
rnacentral:misc_RNA from 1 species